rnacentral:rRNA from 1 species
GAGUUUGAUCCUGGCUCAGGAUGAACGCCGGCGGUGUGCCUAAUACAUGCAAGUCGUACGCACUGGCCCAACUGAUUGAUGGUGCUUGCACCUGAUCGACGAUGGAUCACCAGUGAGUGGCGGACGGGUGAGUAACACGUAGGUAACCUGCCCUGUACAGGGGAUAACAAUCAGAAAUGACUGCUAAUACCGCAUAAGACCACAGCACCGCAUGGUGCAGGGGUAAAAACUCCGGUGGUACAGGAUGGACCCGCGUCUGAUUAGCUGGUUGGUGAGGUAACGGCUCACCAAGGCGACGAUCAGUAGCCGGCUUGAGAGAGUGAACGGCCACAUUGGGACUGAGACACGGCCCAAACUUCCACGGGAGGCAGCAGGUGGGAAUAUUGCACAAGUCGGGGAAACCCUGAUGCAGCAACGCCGCGUGAGUGAAGAGUA